GAUGAACGCUAGCGGGAGGCCUAACACAUGCAAGCCGAGCGGGAUUUGUUGGUUAGCUUGCUAACUAACAAUGAGAGCGGCGUACGGGUGCGUAGCACGUGUGCAACCUGCCUUUAUCUGGGGGAUAGCCUUUCGAAAGGAAGAUUAAUACCCCAUAACAUAUUGAUUGGCAUCAGUUAAUAUUGAAAGCUCCGGCGGAUAGAGAUGGGCACGCGUAAGAUUAGCUAGUUGGUGAGGUAACGGCUCACCAAGGCUGCGAUCUUUAGGGGGCCUGAGAGGGGGAGCCCCCACACGGGUACUGGGACACGGACCAGACUCCUACGGGAGGCAGCAGUGAGGAAUAUUGGACAAUGGGUGAGAGCCUGAUCCAGCCAACCCGCGUGAAGGACUAAGGACCUAUGGUUUGUAAACUUCUUUUAGACAGGGAUAAACCUACGCGCGUGAGGGUAGCUGAAGGUACUGGAUGAAUAAGCACCGGCUAACUCCGUG
rnacentral:rRNA from 1 species